UACGAAGGGUGCAAGCGUUAAUCGGAAUUACUGGGCGUAAAGCGCACGUAGGCGGAUACUUAAGUUAGGGGUGAAAUCCCGGGGCUCAACCCCGGAACUGCCUUUAAUACUGGGUAUCUCGAGUUCGAGAGAGGUGAGUGGAAUUCCGAGUGUAGAGGUGAAAUUCGUAGAUAUUCGGAGGAACACCAGUGGCGAAGGCGGCUCACUGGCUCGAUACUGACGCUGAGGUGCGAAAGCGUGGGGAGCAAACAGG
rnacentral:rRNA from 1 species